GGGCUUCUAGCUCAGUGGGAGAGCGUCCGGUACGCACCCGGAAGGUCGUCGGUUCGAUUCCGACGUUGUCCA
rnacentral:tRNA from 1 species